AUCCAGCUGACGAGUCACGAAUAAAACGAAACACGCGUCCUGGAU
rnacentral:hammerhead_ribozyme from 1 species